rnacentral:rRNA from 1 species
GAUGAACGCUGGCGGCGUGCUUAACACAUGCAAGUCGAACGGAAAGGCUCCUGCUUGCCGGGGUACUCGAUUGGCGAACGGGUGAGUAACACGUGGGUGAUCUGCCCUGCACUUCGGGAUAAGCCUGGGAAACUGGGUCUAAUACCGGAUAGGACCACAUUUUGGAUGGUGUUGUGGAAAGUUUUUCGGUGUGGGAUGAGCUCGCGGCCUAUCAGCUUGUUGGUGGGGUAAUGGCCUACCAAGGCGUCGACGGGUAGCCGGCCUGAGAGGGUGUACGGCCACAUUGGGACUGAGAUACGGCCCAGACUCCGACGGGAGGCAGCAGUGGGGAAUAUUGCACAAUGGGCGCAAGCCUGAGGCAGCGACGCCGCGUGGGGGAUGACGGCCUUCGGGUUGUAAACUCCUGUCGCUAGGGAAGAAGCGUUUUUGUGACGGUACCUGGAGAAGAAGCACCGGCUAACUACGUG